UACGUAGGGCGCAAGCGUUGUCCGGAAUUAUUGGGCGUAAAGAGCUCGUAGGCGGUUUGUCGCGUCUGCUGUGAAAACCUAAGGCUCAACCUUGGGCUUGCAGUGGGUACGGGCAGACUAGAGUGCGGUAGGGGUGACUGGAAUUCCUGGUGUAGCGGUGAAAUGCGCAGAUAUCAGGAGGAACACCGGUGGCGAAGGCGGGUCUCUGGGCCGAUACUGACGCUGAGGAGCGAAAGCGUGGGGAGCAAACAGG
rnacentral:rRNA from 1 species